rnacentral:rRNA from 1 species
GAUGAACGCUGGCGGCGUGCUUAACACAUGCAAGUCGAACGGUGAAGCAGGAGCUUGCUCUUGUGGAUCAGUGGCGAACGGGUGAGUAACACGUGAGCAACCUGCCCCUGACUCUGGGAUAAGCGCUGGAAACGGCGUCUAAUACUGGAUAUGUGAUGUGACCGCAUGGUCUGCAUCUGGAAAGAAUUUCGGUUGGGGAUGGGCUCGCGGCCUAUCAGCUUGUUGGUGAGGUAAUGGCUCACCAAGGCGUCGACGGGUAGCCGGCCUGAGUGGGUGACCGGCCACACUGGGACUGAGACAGGGCCCAGACUCCGACGGGAGGCAGCAGUGGGGAAUAUUGCACAAUGGGCGGAAGCCUGAUGCAGCAACGCCGCGUGAGGGAUGACGGCCUUCGGGUUGUAAACCUCUUUUAGCAGGGAAGAAGCGAAAGUGACGGUACCUGCAGAAAAAGCACCGGCUAACUACGUGCCAGCAGCCGCCGUAA